rnacentral:rRNA from 1 species
CCUACGGGAGGCAGCAGUGAGGAAUAUUGGUCAAUGGACGAGAGUCUGAACCAGUCAAGUAGCGUGAAGGAUGACUGCCCUAUGGGUUGUAAACUUCUUUUAUAUGGGAAUAAAACGUUCCACGUGUGGGAUUUUGUAUGUACCAUAUGAAUAAGGAUCGGCUAACUCCGUGCCAGCAGCCGCGGUAAUACGGAGGAUCCGAGCGUUAUCCGGAUUUAUUGGGUUUAAAGGGAGCGUAGGUGGAUUGUUAAGUCAGUUGUGAAAGUUUGCGGCUCAACCGUAAAAUUGCAGUUGAAACUGGCAGUCUUGAGUACAGUAGAGGUGGGCGGAAUUCGUGGUGUAGCGGUGAAAUGCUUAGAUAUCACGAAGAACUCCGAUUGCGAAGGCAGUUCACUGGACUGCAACUGACACUGAGGCUCGAAAGUGUGGGUAUCAAACAGGAUUAGAUACCCCGGUAGUC